GAUCAUGGCUCAGAACGAACGCUGGCGGCAGGUCUUAGGCAUGCAAGUCGAACGGAUGACAGAGAGCUUGCUCUCUGAAGUCAGUGGCGCACGAGUGAGUAACGCGUGGGAAACUGCCCUUCACUGGGGAAUAACGUUUGGAAACGAACGCUAAUACCGCAUACGCCCGCAAGGGGGAAGAUUUAUCGGUGAUGGAUGUGCCCGCGUUGGAUUAGCUAGUUGGUGGGGUAAUGGCCUACCAAGGCGAUGAUCCAUAGCUGGUCUGAGAGGACGAUCAGCCACGCUGGAACUGAGACACGGUCCAGACUCCUACGGGAGGCAGCAGCUAAGAAUAUUGGGCAAUGGAGGAAACUCUGACCCAGCCAAUGCCGCGUGAAUGAAGAAGGCCUUCGGGUUGUAAAGUUCUUUUAGUCAUGAAGAUGAUGACAGUAGUGACAGAAAAAGCACCGGCUAACUUCGUGCCAGCAGCAGC
rnacentral:rRNA from 1 species